rnacentral:lncRNA from 1 species
GGGCAGUGAUGAUAAAAUAGGAAAGUCAUGCACCACUCUGAUAUACAUUGUGAUCGAUAAACUUUCUCUUACCCAUAUUGUUUUCUGAGCCCUUUUGUAUUCUAAGAACAUCUGUAGUGGAAGAGGAAUAUAAUGCUCCCAUCCUAGGGCAUUUUAUGCCGUGUGGCGGUCCAGUUAGCAAAUAAUAAUAAUAAUAAUAAUAAUAAUAAUAAUAAUAAUAAUAAAUAAAUAAAUGAAUGAAUUUUGAAGGGCAGUGAUGAUAAAAUAGGAAAGUCAUGCACCACUCUGAUAUACAUUGUGAUCGAUAAACUUUCUCUUACCCAUAUUGUUUUCUGAGCCC